rnacentral:rRNA from 1 species
GACGUAGGGCGCGAGCGUUGUCCGGAUUUAUUGGGCGUAAAGAGCUCGUAGGCGGCUCAUUGCGUCAACCGUGAAAACCUGCCGCUCAACGGUAGGCUUGCGGUUGAUACGGGUGGGCUGGAGUUCGGUAGGGGAGACUGGAAUUCCUGGUGUAGCGGUGAAAUGCGCAGAUAUCAGGAGGAACACCGGUGGCGAAGGCGGGUCUCUGGGCCGAUACUGACGCUGAGGCACGAAGGCCAGGGGAGCAAACGGG